rnacentral:rRNA from 1 species
AACGAACGCUGGCGGCGCGCCUAAUACAUGCAAGUCGAACGAGAAGCUGUAGCAAUACAGUUGUACAGUGGCGAACGGGUGAGGAAUACAUGGGUGACCUACCCUCGAGUGGGGAAGUAACCACGCCGAAACGGUUAGGUCUAAUAACCGCCGUACGCUUCCCACGUCUUACGGGUUGGGGAAGGAAAGACGAUGCCGUGGGUAGUCGCG